rnacentral:rRNA from 1 species
UACGUAGGGGGCUAGCGUUGCUCGGAAUCACUGGGCGUAAAGGGUGCGUAGGCGGGUUUUUAAGUCAGGGGUGAAAUCCUGGAGCUCAACUCCAGAACUGCCUUUGAUACUGAAGAUCUUGAGUCCGGGAGAGGUGAGUGGAACUGCGAGUGUAGAGGUGAAAUUCGUAGAUAUUCGCAAGAACACCAGUGGCGAAGGCGGCUCACUGGCCUGGUACUGACGCUGAGGCACGAAAGCGUGGGGAGCAAACAGG